UGGGGAAUAUUGGACAAUGGGGGAAACCCUGAUCCAGCGACGCCGCGUGGGUGAUGAAGGCUUUCGGGUCGUAAAGCCCUGUCAGGAGGAAAGAAUGCUCCUAUGAUAAAUACUCAUAGGAAGUGACGGUACCUCCAAAGGAAGCACCGGCCAACUCCGUGCCAGCAGCCGCGGUAAGACGGAGGGUGCAAGCGUUGCUCGGAAUUACUGGGCGUAAAGGGUGCGUAGGCGGCCUUUCAAGUCCGGCGUGAAAGCCCAGGGCUCAGCCUUGGAAGUGCGCUAGAAACUGAAUGGCUAGAGUAUCGGAUGGGAGAGUGGAAUUCCUGGUGUAGCGGUGAAAUGCGUAGAUAUCAGGAGGAAUACCGGUGGCGAAGGCGACUCUCUGGACGGCAACUGACGCUGAGGCACGAAAGCGUGGGGAGCAAACAGGAUUAGAUACCCAAGUAGUCCCUGAGCGGGCUGGCAAGGC
rnacentral:rRNA from 1 species